rnacentral:rRNA from 1 species
GAGCGCUCGUAGCAAUACGAGAGCGGCAGACGGGAGAGUAACACGUGGGAACGUACCCUUCGGUUCGGAAUAACCCGGGGAAACUUGGGCUAAUACCGGAUACGUCCGUAAGGAGAAAGAUUUAUUGCCGAAGGAUCGGCCCGCGCCCGAUUAGCUAGUUGGUGAGGUAAUGGCUCACCAAGGCGACGAUCGGUAGCUGGUCUGAGAGGAUGAUCAGCCUCACUGGGACUGAGACACGGCCCAGACUCCUACGGGAGGCAGCAGUGGGGAAUAUUGGACAAUGGGCGCAAGCCUGAUCCAGCCAUGCCGCGUGGGUGAUGAAGGCCCUAGGGUUGUAAAGCCCUUUCGGCGGGGAAGAUAAUGACGGUACCCGCAGAAGAAGCCCCGGCUAACUUCGUGCCAGCAGCAACGGUCAUAAU